AGCUGAGAACCAACUGGGGGCUCUGGGAGCUGUAGUUCCUUGGUUAGCUCCUUGCCUAUAGAGCCAGCCCUGGAGCAGGGAAAGAACUACAUUUCCCAGCAUUCCCUUGGACACUACCAACAGGAAUAGAAGCGGGAGGCAGGAAGGGAGCUGAGAUCUCAUGCUGUAGCCUGCUGUGAAUGGAGAGCUGCACUGUGAAGGUGUAAUCCAGCAUACGUCAUGUAAACUACAAACUGCUGAUUGCCUGGCAUUCAGCUCCAAAGGAACCUACUCAGGGUGCAUUAAUCCCACUUAUGUUCUAGUGCUGUCAAGAAAGUGAAACCUCUCAGAAGCUGCAGUUGCUCUCCUAAACUGAAGCAUAGCCUUGGAUGUUUUGGUUAGAAAGGAGAAGAGACUCUUCUACAAAAGGCUGGAAUGUGCUAAAGUGAAGACUUGCCGUUGUGCACCUGCAUUAAAUGUUGCUGAAUCUGUGACUGAGCAUUGCCCUACGCACACUCCCAUUGGUGCUGCCAUGGCAGAGCUGGAAAGAGUAGCUAUGAAGAAACAAACCUCAUGGUUGCAAGUGACAUUUGGCCUGAUUGAAGUAGCCUUCCAACCCUCCCAAGGCAGUAUCCCAGACCAUGAAGCCAUGGAAGGGACCUCUGCUGCAAAUUUUUCAAGCCUCCCUCCUCCGUCCCGAAGGCUAUCUCAGAUAAGGUGAUGAAAAAAACGCAUGUGAGAUGAAAUGUUCUCUGAAAUCAUGCAAUCGACCCACAGUGAAAGAGCUCAUUUGAAUGAGUGGAAGGACACGGUAUCACAGUACAAGAAAGCGGCCAACAAACGUGAGGACAGGAGGGACGAACGCGAGGACAGGAGGGACGCUUGAGAUGAGAGGUAGCGGCAGGAAGAUCAGAGGAGGCAGGAUGCAACGCUGCAGCUACUGCGAGAUCAAACAGACAUGCUCCAGCACCUGGUGGAGCUUCAGGAACAGCAGCAGGAUCACAGAAUAUACUGCAGCCCCUGUAUAAUUGCCCUUCCCCCUCCCCAUGUUCCAUUGCCUCCUCACCCAGACGCCACUCCACCCCAGUGGACAGCCAAAGCAAAAGGCUGUCAUUCAACAAGUUUUGAAGUGGCCUUUUCCU